rnacentral:rRNA from 1 species
GUAAUGCGUAGGAAGCUGCCCGAUAGAGGGGGAUACCAGUUGGAAACGACUGUUAAUACCGCAUAAUGUCUACGGACCAAAGUGUGGGACCUUCGGGCCACAUGCUAUCGGAUGCGCCUACGUGGGAUUAGCUAGUUGGUGAGGUAAUGGCUCACCAAGGCGACGAUCUUUAGCUGGUUUGAGAGGAUGAUCAGCCACACUGGAGCUGAGACACGGUCCAGACUCCUACGGGAGGCAGCAGUGGGGAAUAUUGGACAAUGGGCGCGAGCCUGAUCCAGCCAUGCCGCGUGUGUGAAGAAGGCCUUCGGGUUGUAAAGCACUUUCAGCGAGGAGGAAGGGAUGUAUGUUAAUAGCAUGCAUUUUUGACGUUACUCGCAGAAGAAGCACCGGCUAACUCUGUGCCAGCAGCCGCGGUAAUACAGAGGGUGCAAGCGUUAAUCGGAAUUACUGGGCGUAAAGCGCACGUAGGCGGUUUGUUAAGUUGGAUGUGAAAGCCCCGGGCUCAACCUGGGAAUUGCAUUCAAAACUGGCCAACUAGAGUAUGUGAGAGGGGGGUAGAAUUCCAAGUGUAGCGGUGAAAUGCGUAGAGAUUUGGAGGAAUACCAGUGGCGAAGGCGGCCCCCUGGCACAAUACUGACGCUGAGGUG